rnacentral:rRNA from 1 species
UAGUCCACGCCGUAAACGAUGAUGACUAGCUGUUCGGGUUCACAGAACUUGAGUGGCGCAGCUAACGCAUUAAGUUAUCCGCCUGGGGAGUACGGUCGCAAGAUUAAAACUCAAAGGAAUUGACGGGGGCCUGCACAAGCGGUGGAGCAUGUGGUUUAAUUCGAAGCAACGCGCAGAACCUUACCAGCUUUUGACAUCCUGGUCGCGGAUAGAGGAGACUCUUUCCUUCAGUUCGGCUGGACCAGUGACAGGUGCUGCAUGGCUGUCGUCAGCUCGUGUCGUGAGAUGGUGGGUUAAGUCCCGCAACGAGCGCAACCCUCAUCCUUAGUUGCUACCAUUUAGUUGGGCACUUUAAGGAAACUGCCGGUGAUAAGCCGGAGGAAGGUAAGGAUGACGUCAAGUCAGCAUGCCCCUUACGCUCUGGGCUACACACGUGCUACAAUGGUCGUGACAAAGAGUUGCUAGUCUGCGAAGGCAAGCCAAUCUCAUAAACGCGG